rnacentral:lncRNA from 1 species
AGCAUCCGACAACAGUAGACUCGUCAGCAGCCUCGAAAACAUCCGAGCUUCUCCCAGAUCGACGGGAUAGAGAGCCAUUCCGCUCCAUCAGAUAUCCCAGCCGAGCUCCGACCGACAGAUCUGAACUCUCUAGCAAGUCACGACAAUGGCCACUACCCUACUCCAUUCUCUACAAUGGAUUCCGCGUGGCUCCACCACUCUCU